rnacentral:rRNA from 5 species
AGACCCGAAACCCGGUGAUCUAGCCAUGGGCAGGUUGAAGGUUGGGUAACACUAACUGGAGGACCGAACCGACUAAUGUUGAAAAAUUAGCGGAUGACCUGUGGCUGGGGGUGAAAGGCCAAUCAAACCGGGAGAUAGCUGGUUCUCCCCGAAAGCUAUUUAGGUAGCGCCUCGUGAAUUCAUCUCCGGGGGUAGAGCACUGUUUCGGCUAGGGGGCCAUCCCGGCUUACCAACCCGAUGCAAACUGCGAAUACCGGAGAAUGUUAUCACGGGAGACACACGGCGGGUGCUAACGUCCGUCGUGAAGAGGGAAACAACCCAGACCGCCAGCUAAGGUCCCAAAGUCAUGGUUAAGUGGGAAACGAUGUGGGAAGGCCCAGACAGCCAGGAUGUUGGCUUAGAAGCAGCCAUCAUUUAAAGAAAGCGUAAUAGCUCACUGGUCGAGUCGGCCUGCGCGGAAGAUGUAACGGGGCUAAACCAUGCACCGAAGCUGCGGCAGCGAACGUAUCACUUAAAGCGAUUCAGCGGGUUACGAUUGACGGAGCGAAGCGACGUCAAAGCGUAUACAAAGUCGAGUCGGUUUAAGGAUACGUUCGUUGGGUAGGGGAGCGUUCUGUAAGCCUGUGAAGGUGGCCUGUGAGGGUUGCUGGAGGUAUCAGAAGUGCGAAUGCUGACAUAAGUAACGAUAAAGCGGGUGAAAAGCCCGCUCGCCGGAAGACCAAGGGUUCCUGUCCAACGUUAAUCGGGGCAGGGUGAGUCGACCCCUAAGGCGAGGCCGAAAGGCGUAGUCGAUGGGAAACGGGUUAAUAUUCCCGUACUUGGUGUUACUGCGAAGGGGGGACGGAGAAGGCUAUGUUGGCCGGGCGACGGUUGUCCCGGUUUAAGCGUGUAGGUGUGUGUUCCAGGUAAAUCCGGUUCACUUUAACACUGAGGCGUGACGACGAGGCACUACGGUGCUGAAGCAACAAAUGCCCUGCUUCCAGGAAAAGCCUCUAAGCAUCAGGUAACAUCAAAUCGUACCCCAAACCGACACAGGUGGUCAGGUAGAGAAUACCAAGGCGCUUGAGAGAACUCGGGUGAAGGAACUAGGCAAAAUGGUGCCGUAACU